rnacentral:rRNA from 1 species
ACCGCAUGAUACCUGAGGGUCAAAGGCGCAAGUCGCCUGUGGAGGAACCUGCGUUCGAUUAGCUAGUUGGUGGGGUAAAGGCCUACCAAGGCGAUGAUCGAUAGCUGGUUUGAGAGGAUGAUCAGCCACACUGGGACUGAGACACGGCCCAGACUCCUACGGGAGGCAGCAGUGGGGAAUAUUGGACAAUGGGCGAAAGCCUGAUCCAGCAAUGCCGCGUGUGUGAAGAAGGUCUUCGGAUUGUAAAGCACUUU